rnacentral:rRNA from 1 species
ACGGCUCAGUAACACGUAGUCAACCUAACUCGUGGACGUGGAUAACCUCGGGAAACUGAGAAUAAACCACGAUAGAUCAUAGUGCCUGGAAUGGCUUAUGGUCCAAACAGUUUACUGCCAUGGGAUGGGACUGCGGCCUAUCAGCUUGUUGGUGAGGUAAUGGCCCACCAAGGCGAUUACAGGUACGGGCUCUGAGAGGAGAAGCCCGGAGAUGGGUACUGAGACACGGACCCAGGCCCUAUGGGGCGCAGCAGGCGAGAAACCUUAGCAAUGUGCGAAAGCACGACUGGGUCAGUCCGAGUGAUUCCUGAUAAAGGAGUCUUUUGCUUGUCCUAAAAGCACAGGUGAAUAAGGGGUGGGCAAGUCUGGUGUCAGCCGCCGCGGUAAUACCAGCACCUCGAGUGGUCAGGACGUUUAUUGGGCCUAAAGCAUCCGUAGCCGGCUUUGCAAGUCUUCGGUUAAAUCCACCUGCUCAACAGAUGGGCCGCUGGAGAUACUACACAGCUAGGGAGUGGGAGAGGCAGACGGUAUUCAGUGGGUAGGGGUAAAAUCCUCUGAUCCAUUGAGGACCACCAGUGGCGAAGGCGGUCUGCCAGAACACGUUCGACGGUGAGGGAUGAAAGCUGGGGGAGCAAACCGGAUUAGAUACCCGGGUAGUCCCAGCUGUAAACGAUGCAAACUCGGUGAUGCAUUGGCUUAUGGCCAAUGCAGUGCCGCAGGGAAGCCGUUAAGUUUGCCGCCUGGGAAGUACGGACGCAAGUCUGAACCUUAAAGGAAUUGGCGGGGGAGCAC